GCGGUUAUGGUGAAGCUGGUUAACACAUCUGACUGUGAAUCAGACAUGCAUGGGUUCGAGUCCCAUUAAUCGCCCCA
rnacentral:tRNA from 1 species